rnacentral:rRNA from 1 species
UUCGAGUGGCGGACGGGUGAGUAACGCGUGGGUAACCUGCCUUACACAGGGGGAUAACACCUGGAAACAGGUGCUAAUACCGCAUAAGCGCACAGGGCCGCAUGGCCCGGUGUGAAAAACUCCGGUGGUGUAAGAUGGACCCGCGUCUGAUUAGCUUGUUGGCGGGGUAGGGGCCCACCAAGGCGACGAUCAGUAGCCGGCCUGAGAGGGUGGACGUCCACAUUGGGACUGAGACACGGCCCAAACUCCUACGGAAGGCAGCAG